rnacentral:lncRNA from 1 species
CAGAGGCAGGAAACAAAGGUUAUGUGUACGACCAAACGCAUUCCGUCCCUGCCGUGGAGGAGGCGCACGAACUUGGGGUUUUGAUUUUGUUCUCCGAAUGUGCAAAUUAUUCGUCUCCGCAAGUUGUAGUUCAACUGAAAGCCGUUUUGUGUCAGAAAAAAUGUGUCAACAUGCGUGUCUCCCACCACCACAACGAAAUCUGAUAUGCAGCCUCGCACCGAAACCGGGCCCGUGCUCUCCGCUAUUGCAAGACUGGCACUUUGAUGCCCAGACUGGCUUCUGUAAACGUUUUCCAUCAGGAUUUUGCAGUAACAAUCCUAAUAGUUUUCCGUCAUGUGAAUCUUGCAUGAAUAGAUGCAGCGACGGAAACACUGCAGCACUCUGCCAUCGGUCUCCUUAAACAAGCAGAAAACCAAAACUGGGACCGGCACGACCUAUAUUAUAGGAACUACGCCGACCGAAACCGCCCGAAUAGGAAGAUCUAUCCUUC